rnacentral:misc_RNA from 1 species
GAUGAAGAACGCAGCGAAACGCGAUAUGUAAUGUGAAUUGCAGAAUUCAGUGAAUCAUCGAAUCUUUGAACGCACAUUGCGCCCGCCAGUAUUCUGGCGGGCAUGCCUGUCUGAGCGUCAUUUCAGCCCUCAUGCCCCUAGGGCGUGGUGUUGGGGAUCGGCCAAAGCCCGCGAGGGACGGCCGGCCCCUAAAUCUAGUGGCGGACCCGUCGUGGCCUCCUCUGCGAAGUAGUGAUAUUCCGCAUCGCAGAGCGACGAGCCCCUGCCGUUAAACCCCCAACUUUCCAAGGUUGACCUCAGAUCAGGUAGGAAUACCCGCUGAACUUAAGCAUAUCAAUAAGCGGAGGA